GACCGAGCGGCGGGCCGGGCAUGUUGGCGGCGCUGCGCCGGGGGUCGGGCCUGCUGGCGGCCGCGGGGAGACGCUGCUCCGGGGCGCGCCUGCCGGCCGGGCGGGAGCCCGCCUGGGGAGCGGGGUCCCUGCGGGGGCGGAGCGGCCCCGGCCCCGGCGGCGUCCUGGCCGCCCUGGCAGCUUUCUCCUUGUUCUCUAAAAAUGCUGAGGAAGAGAGGGAGACAAAAGAAGGGGAGAGUGCAGGAACUGAAGACACCAUUAUAUUCCUUUUGAAGAAAGCCAAGCUCAGCAUCAUGAAGGGGGAGCUUGAGGAAGCAGAGCGGAUUCUGCACGAAGCCAUCCGACUCUCCCAUCAGUCAGACAACAAGAGAGCCAUCAUCUAUACCUAUGACCUGAUGGCAAACCUUGCGUUCCUGAGGGGUCAGCUGGACAGCGCAGAGAAGCUCUUCAAAGCAGCAAUGAGCUUCUUGCUUGCUGGCGACAUGAAGCAGGAUGACAAUGCCAUCAUUGAAAUGUCCCUCAAGCUGGCCAGUAUCUAUGCUGCUCAGAACCAACACAAGCUGGCUCUUGCUGGCUACGAGUUCUGCAUCCUGACCCUGGAUGAGAAGAUAGCCAAAUACAAGGACUUGCCUGAGGAUGUUCUCCCAGCAGAGGAAAGAGCCAACACGUAUCUCCUGCUUGGUCUGUGCCUGGACUCGUACGGUCGCUACCUCCUGGCCAACAAACAGCUGCCUCGGGCCCAAAGAAUGUAUGAGAGGGCACUUCAGAUCUCCAAGGAGGUCCAGGGAGAGACCCAUCCCCAGACUGUGGUACUGAUGAAUGACUUAGCAACUGUGCUGGAUGCCCAGGGGCUCUAUGAUGAGGCAUAUACACAUGGGAAGAGGGCAUCUGAAUUGGCAAAGCAGACUGAGCACCCUGAGGAGCACAUGGUGCUGAAUAACCUUGCAGGAAUUCUGAUGCACAAAGAAGACUUUCUGCAAGCAAAACAGGUGUACAAAAAAGCCCUGAAACAGGCAGAGCUGAAAGGAGACACUGCAUCCAGGCAGCACAUCCAGGAGGAACUAGCAGAGCUGGCCAGGAGGAGAAAGCACUCAAACUGAACAUAUGAUGCACAAAUGAGGGAGGCUUGAAGUAUCUUGGGCUGAAUGAACUGCUGAAGGCAAGGUGGUGGAUUAUACAAAGCACAGGAAGACUGGGACCUGUUGCCAUUUUCAGUGGGAACUAAAAUAGGGACACCCAAACUUUGCCCAAGUGAGUGCCAUACUGAUGACUUGCCAAGAGCAUAAUCACUACCACCACCUCAAUGCAUUUGAUUGGUAUAUCUUAAAGCAAUUGACCAUGGAGGUAAGUAUCAAUAUUUCUAUUAUACAGAGAAUCUGAAGCAUGAAGUGGUUAAGUGACACGCACAAGGUCAGUGCCAGAGUCAGGAACAGAACCCAAGGCCUCCUGACUCUUAGUCCUCUGCCUUAGCCACUCAACCAUGUUGCCUCUGAAAGUUAGGAGGAGAUUCAAUUUUCAUCACUCUGGGGCCUAAACCAGUUGAUUCUUUUAAAGCACAUUAGUUGCGAUAAGAAACCCAAAAAUUGUAUUAUGAGAGGUGGUUUGCACAUAUGGAGUCUUUCACCCAUGCCUCUCCAAGCGCUUUACAUAGUGAAUUUCAACAUCUCUGGGAAGUAGGUAGGUACACACCCAUCUGCAAAGAGGGCAGACAGAGAGUGGCUAAGUGAUUUGCCCACAGUAGCAGAAUCAGGAACAGAAUUUAUGAGUCUUGACUCCUACUACACUGCUCUUGCCAUUAGACAAUACUGCCUCACUUCAGAGAUUAGAGCUGCUGCUGACCACUCAGAGAUACAAGAUAAGAUAUAGUAAGUUCAGUUUUUAGACAUACCUCUGUUCAGCAGGCUCAGUUCUUUGGGAAAGCAAUAUAAUAUUGUCUUGUUUCUCAUGUACAACUGGGACCUGAGGCGGUGAGAUUGGCUCAUAGGGUUCUGAAGAGACAUGACUUCUCUCUGGGGACUUCCCAGGUCUAAAUUUUUAAUACAAAAAAGAGGUACUCUUCAAAUGUGUAACCAGCACAGUUAAAAACAAACUCCAGUAACCAAUGAUCAAGACUAUAUUGCUUAUAUAUCAUCUAAGUCUAUGGUAUCCCUUGGGAUAAAAGAUAUUACAGAAACAAGACUUCAGACUAUCCACAUAAAUUAUUAAUUUCUAUGAGCGCUACAUGUUUACGUCUCUUCCUUCCCUCAAAGCUUGGAGAUCAAGUGCAGAUAAAUCUAGUAUAAAUGUGUAGAUGGCUAUAAUCUACAAUGCAGCACCAGUCAGUGUUUAUCACUUUCCUUACUACACUGUUAGAAAGUUAAGCCAGAUAUUCCUUCUAUUUGUUGAAGAAAGUAGACCAAAAAUUUAAGUUGCCUUUGGACAGCUAAGAAAGGUUGAAGGAUAAACCUACUUCAAAUCAAUUAAGCCUAAUCCACCGUUAAUUUUUAUUGGCUACUUAUACAGGCAUUGGCUGAAUUUACAGUUAAACCGAAAAAGCCACCACUUCACCUUGCUCUGGAUUUGUCAGAGAGAUUUUCAGGAGACACUCUGGCACUUGGCCGUUGAUGGUGAACAGACUGUGCCUCGGGGCUGUAGCGGUUUGAAGCCUUUGCCCGAGUAGGGGUAGGAGCUGAAGCAGAAGCCGAGUUCUGGAAUGUACUAGUCGGAGGCUGCAGGGAUGCUUGUGAGGCUGCUUGGUUUCUAGCAAAGUCUUGUGUAAUAAUUUGCUGUUUGGGGGCAAAAAAACAAACAAACAAACAAAAAGAGUGGUAAAAAAUCUGGCCUACAUUCUCUCAUUUUAGGAACAAAUGCAACUGGCAUCACACGCACCAAACGCGAUACAAUCUGAACUUCAGUCAUGUGAUAUGUAACAUGUCAUGGUUUCACUACCAAUAUCGUAACCUAUUAUAACUCUCAAAUAAAAUGUAGCAUUUCAAUGUUUUGAAAAUAUAAAAUCAAUCCCAAAGUUACUUGCAAAAUUAACCUACACAGAUAUGGUCAGCAAGUGUGAUCAGACGAUGGGUCCUAGGUACAUGUCCGAUCCCUUCUGCCUGAGAGGAAGGCAGUGGAGGCUGCUGUGGAGAAGGAGAUUCCUGUUGUGUCCUAUAUCGGUGAACUGGACCUUCAUACUGCCUGUUGGGAUCACCUAGUUUCCAAAAAAAAAAAAAAAAAAAAAAAAAAAAAAAAAAAAAAGGCAUAUCACUCUAAGAAGACAUUUCUGAAGUUUAAGCUUUGAGAGUUUUUUGAAUAUUUAUAAGGAGAUAUAUGAAACAUUUCUGCAUGAAAUUUUAAGUAGCUUGUCUAAUACAGCUUUCUUUCCUUAGUAUUUAGACCAGUGGGACGCAUCCACACAAUAUAUAUAUUACCUGUAUGACCCUGAGGAUAUCACAUGGGCCGUAGCUGUGUGCUGAUUGGGCCGCAAGCGGCCCACGGGUUAAGAACCACUGAUUUAGACCCUUUGAUUCAAACAGGCAACAGAAAGUUAAGUACUAGUCUACAACAGCAUUGCAUCCAUAUUUUUGGACUGAUUUAAUUUCACUGUACUUCUUUGACAGCAAACUGAGCUGACGUAACUUGCACCUCAGUCUCUUUCACCAAAAUAUCACAAUUAAGUAUAUGCUCUAGAAAAGCUUCUGAAGAUUCAAGACUGUUUUUAGUUGCAACUUAAAGGCUGCUAAUGUACUUUAUAUACGAGUUUAAGAAACGUACAUGAUGCGUAGCUGAGCAGCAGGAUCCAGAGGGGUAAUUACACUUGUCCCAUUGGUUCCUUGGAAAAUACUGGGCCUUUGCUGCAGCAUGUUCUCUUGGGUUCUAACAGAAGGAGAAGGUGAGCGAACGUAUCCAUGACUGCCAGGUCUACCAGGUUGCUCUGUACCUUAAGUGUGUGGAGAAAGUUAGUGGGGGGGGGGGAAAUAUAACAGGCUGUUAUAACGUGUAAUAAGUGUGUAUAUAACAAUGCACAAGCAAGUAUCAUAAUGCUAUCGCCUCCUCCACACCCUUUUUCAUAUGUCUAUGCUGCUGUCAGGCAUAGACCAUAUUUAAAGCUUUCUAAAGAACAGCAUCCUCCAAUCUGCACUGCACUGAGUGAAAUGCCAAUUGUAACAGGACUGCCUCGGUUGAUUCCAUCCUUCAGAUUCUACAUCAUUACAACUGAACAAAGAUAAAAAGAACAUACUACCUACCACUGUCAAUUACAGCAAAACCUCCACAUCUUAGGAAUCACCCAUUUAGAUCAUACUAACAAUAGGUUACACAGCACUGUUUUUUAUUUUUUAGAAGUCAAAACAAAAGUGCUAAUGGUGGUUGUGGAAACUGAUUAGUUAUAUUUUGUAUAAACAAGACUGAUCCAAAUGUGGCAAUGUACACUCACCAGGCCGAAGGUAGUGCUCAGUGGGAACUGUAGCGAUUCUCUCCCUCUCUCGUUCCCUCUCCCGCUCCCUUUCACGUUCCCUCUCCCUCUCCUUCUCCCGUUCCCUCUCCCGCUCCCUCUCAGCGUUGGCAGCUGCAGAAGCAGCCAGAUGCGUAGGGUGUCCUAUAAGAUGCACAGGAGAUAGGAGAGCUUCAAACAGCAGUGAAAAGCGUAAGACAAACACUGAAAAGCUCAGCAGUGUGUAUUACUUGACACACCCUUGAUGUAAGUUGAAGCCAGAAAAGAAUAUUUAUGAAUGCCCCAAACCACUUUGAUUUCAUUGAUAAUUAUACACUGGACUAUGAUGGUUGAACCCUAAAAUUCACUGUGAGAGAUGGGGUUGGGAAACAACCUUCCCAAGUCACUCCACUGCUUUAAUACACGGUGAUAGGAGCUAUCCAGUCGGCAGAUAAUAGGAGCCAAAUUCCACCCUCGAACAGAAAUUAAUGGGUUCAUGUAUCAGAUGACAGAAUUUGGCCCACUGUAUUUAACAAAAACACCAAACUUUUUAUUUUUCUAAUUGUUUUCUCUUCUUCAGGGCUUCCAGCAGAUAAAUACAAAACCUAUCACAAUGGGGCCCCGACCCUGUCUUGCAUACCUCUGGCUGCUACUGAAACAAUAAAGUUAACAAUCAUCUCUCCCAUCACCCAAAGUGAAUGGCACGGGGGUUAGCUAUUGGAACAGCAGCAAAACACUUAUUCAGUGACUAGUGGAUAGAGAGGGUCACUAUCCUAGAAUGUCAAUGGAUUAGGGAUAAUACAGAACAAUCAGGACUUUUACCUGGUGACAUAGAUGCAGGGUUGUAAGGCCUCGGAGGGAAUGUGAGCUGGGUGCCAGGGAUAUAAGUGAUUCUCUCCAUAGGAGGGGUACUUGUUCCUCCUGGAUGAGGGACUAAGAUAGUGGGAGCCAUAUUGUUCAGGUCAAUAAUUCCUGUUCAAAAGUUAUAAUGGAAUUAGGAUAUACUCCCUAAUCUCAACAGUUUACAACUACUU